UGUGGAUGUGACAACAUGGAGGCUGUGGCUGUCUGGCUGACAUCCCACAGCCGAACAUAUCAUCACUGUCUAAAAGCUCAGUUUCUCACCUGAAAAAUGGAAACACACCAGACCCACAUCUGCUGUGCAUUCACUGGCCUGUCUGGACCACGUCCUCCCUUCUGUGAGUGUGGUAGCCAUGGGGUCACUGCGCAAGCUCCCAGGAGCCCCGCCUGAGCUGCUCUGAUCCAGGCCACAGAAGCAGCCCCUACUGGGACAUGCCACUCUCAGGGAAGAGGACGCAGGAGCACGGGAGCUCAUGGAAAUGACAGCAGUCCCUGAGGCAGUUUGCAUCCCCAUGAAGAUUGGAACAACCUGGAUGGCUCCUAUAAGUUCCUGGAUUGAUUUCCUAUCACCUUUAUGGAUAGGUGGAGAAAUCUGAAUGUACAAGAGAAGGAGUUAAGAAUACGGAAUUACUAUUCAUUGAGUUGGCGUGAAAUGCUAUUGAAGGCCUAUGGAAAAUAUCUUUUUAGAGAUUCAUGCUGAAUAUUUAGGGAUAUAAUAUCAUGAUAUCUAUAAUUCACUUUAAAAUAUUUCAGCAUAAAAAUGGAAAUUGAUAAAAUAUACAGGGUGCAGAUAAUAUUAACAUGAAGAUUCCAGAGAUCAUUUGUUUUGUACAGUACAAACUCAAUAUUUUUUCAAAAAAUUCAGAUGUUAUGAAAAAGGCAGAAAUAAAAAAUAAAGAAAUUUAGUUAGAAUGAAUAGAGAACAAAAAUCCAACCCAAGAAUUUGAGAAACCCCAAAGGCACCGAGCAGUGGGUUGGUCUGGGCACCUCCACCUCCUUGCUCUGUCUCGCCUCCCUUUCCCAUCUGCUCUCUUCUCCAUUUUCUCUCUCACACAAACAUGUUCACAUACUUUGGAAGGUCUUCAUAUCAUCUAACCCCUUAAUGUUUAAAGAUAUUUAAUGAUACCCCCAAUCUUUUUAGCUCUUUGUGGUUUUCUAAGUGCUGUCAUCUGCCAUGUGGUUCUCAAACCUGCGAGAGAGGCUUCAUGGGUAGGAUGAAGAGGCUUGGAGAGGCUGUGCUCUCUCCUCAAGGCCCUGCCCCUAGGGAGGAGCAGAGGAGGCGCGAAGAGCUGGUUUCUCAGUGUCGAGUCAGGGGCCCUUUCCCAGACCACGCCCACAUCCCUUCCCCUCUCCGCGGAGCUGCACUGCAGGGGGUUGGUGUCUCCCAGGCCCCCUGAUCACACGGGUGUUCAGGACCCACUGACUCUUACAGACUCAGAGCAGUGCUUCCCAAAGUGCAGGGCCAGAACCACUAGCUGGUUGCUGAAAAGGGCUUAGUUUUCAGAACAGAACUACUGAAUCACCUCAAGGAAGGGGACCUGAACUUCUUUUUCUAAAUGAGCAUUUCAGGUGACACUAAUGUACCCUAAAGUGUGGGGCACACUUGCCUUGAGGCCAAGAAAGCAGAUGGGCCAGUAUUCCAGAGUGCCCUCUGGCUUCCCUCAGCCCUGUUGCAGCCUCCAACCCCUGUUUCUGUCUGGGAGGAGCCCCCGCCUGCUUAGGGAGGGGCUUCGGCAGGGCGGAGCGGCGAGCCUGGAGUUCCUCCCUCCUCCUCCUCCUCCUCACACCACAGGGAAGGUACGCUAGCAUGAAGUAAGGGUAAACUUGAUGUUUCUGUUCUGUUGUGGCAGAUUAAGUGGCUUUUUUAAUUUAACAGUUAUUAUAAAGAUCUUUUCAUAUAUAAGUGAAAACAUUUUAACAUCAUAUAUGAUAGAGUAUUCCACUGAUUUAAUGGAUUACAUCAUUUCUAAAACAGCUUUAUUUGAGAUAUAAAUCAGUACCGUUAAAAUGGACUUCCUUAAAGUAUACAGUUCAAUAGUUUUGAUCUAUUAACAGAGCUGUGCAUUCAUCACCACAGUCUAACUUCAGGGAGUUUCCAUCACCCCCAAAAGAAACUCUCAUUUGUCUUUUCCCACAGUUACUGGUGGCCACUAGUCUCCUUUCUGUCUCUAUGGUUUUGCCUCUUCUGUAAUUUUUAAACAGAAUCUCUACUGCUGAGUGUUUAUGUUGUUCCUACAUUUUUACCAUUAUUAACAAGGCUAUGAUGAACGUCUAAUAUAUCCAUUUCUAUACUUUUGUCCAAUUAUAUUCUUAAGAUACAUUUCUAGAAUUAGAAUUUGUUUAAUCAGAAAUAUGUUCUUUUGUUUGUUUCCAAAGUCACAAAAUGACAUUGUUGAGGAUACAUUCUUCUCUUUGGUGUGCAUGGAAAAAUAGUCAUAUGGAGAAAAUAUUUGGUAAUAAUAACAAUAAGAGAGAGAGAAAAUGUAUAUUUUUUAUCACACUUCUAUGAACUUUGAGAAAUAUAGAAUUAAAUGUACAAAAACUGGAAGACCAAGUAUAAGCAGUCUGCAUUUGCUUCAGUGCUCAGUACUAUCAUAAUGAUCACAAAAA